GCGACCGUAGCUCAGUUGGCAGAGAGCGGUGGAACGGUGAUCCACAGUCCCGGGUUCAAGUCAAGGCGGUCGCU